rnacentral:rRNA from 1 species
GCAAGUCUGGUGCCAGCAGCCCCGGUAAUUCCAGCUCCAAUAGCGUAUAUUAAAGUUGUUGCAGUUAAAAAGCUCGUAGUUGAACUUUGGAUCUGGGUGACCGGUCUGCGUCUACCGCAUGUACUGGAAACCCGGAUCUUUCCUUCUGGAGAACCGCAUGCACUUUACUGGGUGUGUUGGGGAACCAGGACUUUUAC